rnacentral:rRNA from 1 species
UCCGAAGGGUGCGAUCGUGACGCGGAAUUACUGGGCGUAAAGCGUGCGCAGGCGGAUUGUUAAGCAAGACGUGAAAUCCCCGGGCUUAACCUGGGAAUGGCGUUUUGAACUGGCAGUCUAGAGUGUGUCAGAGGGGGGUAGAAUUCCACGUGUAGCAGUGAAAUGCGUAGAGAUGUGGAGGAAUACCAAUGGCGAAGGCAGCCCCCUGGGAUAACACUGACGCUCAUGGACGAAAGCGUGGGUAGCAAACAGGAUUAGAUACCACCGUAGUCC